rnacentral:rRNA from 1 species
GACGAACGCUGGCGGCGUGCUUAACACAUGCAAGUCGAGCGGAGAGGCCCUUUUGGGGGUACUCGAGCGGCGAACGGGUGAGUAACACGUGAGUAAUCUGCCCUUCACUCUGGGAUAACUGCCUGAAAGGGUGGCUAAUACUGGAUGCGACCAACUGCUGCAUGGUGUGUUGGUGGAAAGCGUUUAGUGGUGGGGGAUGUGCUCGCGGCCUAUCAGCUUGNGGUGGGGUAAUGGCCUACCAAGGCUUUGACGGGUAGCCGGCCUGAGAGGGUGACCGGCCACACUGGGACUGAGACACUGCCCAGACUCCUACGGGAGGCUGCAGUCGAGAAUCUUCGGCAAUGGGCGCAAGCCUGACCGAGCGACGCCGCGUGGAGGAUGAAGGCCUCGGUUGUAAC